GAUGAACGCUAGCGGCAGGCCUAACACAUGCAAGUCGAGGGGUAACGGGGAGCUUGCUCCGCCGACGACCGGCGCACGGGUGCGCACCGCGUAUGGAACCUACCUUGUACAGGGGAAUAGCCCAGGGAAACUUGGAUUAAUGCCCCGUAGUACUAUUAUUCGGCAUCGUUUAAUAGUUAAAGCCUUCGGGCGGUACAAGAUGGCCAUGCGUCCCAUUAGCUUGUUGGUAAGGUAACGGCUUACCAAGGCUACGAUGGGUAGGGGCCCUGAGAGGGGGAUCCCCCACACUGGUACUGAGACACGGACCAGACUCCUACGGGAGGCAGCAGUGAGGAAUAUUGGACAAUGGAGGAGACUCUGAUCCAGCCAUGCCGCGUGCAGGAAGAAUGCCCUAUGGGUAGUAAACUGCUUUUAUACGGGAAGAAAAAGAGCUACGUGUAGCUUACUGACGGUACCGUAAGAAUAAGGACCGGCUAACUCCG
rnacentral:rRNA from 1 species